rnacentral:rRNA from 1 species
UACAUAGGGGGCGAGCGUUAUCCGGAUUUAUUGGGUUUAAAGGGUGCGCAGGCGGACCGCUAAGUCAGGGGUGAAAAGUUCGGGCUUAACCUGAAUCGUGCCUUUGAUACUGGCGGACUAGAGUGCGAUAGGCGUGGCCGGAAUGUGGUGUGUAGCGGUGAAAUGCUUAGAUAUGCCACAGAACUCCGAUCGAGAAGUCAGGUCACGAGUUCGCAACUGACGCUCAUGCACGAAAGCGUGGGGAUCAAAC